GUUCGGAUGGCCAAGUGAUUAAGGUGUUGGACUUAAGAUCCAAUAGAUGUAUGUCUGUGUGGGUUCAAACUCUGCUCCUGGUA